GACGAACGCUGGCGGCGUGCCUAAUACAUGCAAGUUGAGCGCUGAAGGUUGGUACUUGUACCAACUGGAUGAGCAGCGAACGGGUGAGUAACGCGUGGGGAAUCUGCCUUUGAGCGGGGGACAACAUUUGGAAACGAAUGCUAAUACCGCAUAAAAACUUUAAACACAAGUUUUAAGUUUGAAAGAUGCAAUUGCAUCACUCAAAGAUGAUCCCGCGUUGUAUUAGCUAGUUGGUGAGGUAAAGGCUCACCAAGGCGAUGAUACAUAGCCGACCUGCGAGGGUGAUCGGCCACAUUGGGACUGAGACACGGCCCAAACUCCCUCGGGAGGCAGCAGUAGGGAAACUUCGGCCAGGGACGAAAGUCUGAGCGAGCAACGCCGCGGGAGUGAAGAAGGUUGUCGGAUCGUAAAACUCUGUUGGUAGAGAAGAACGUUGGUGAGAGUGGAAAGCUCAUCAAGUGACGGUAACUACUCAGAAAGGGACGGCUAACUACGUG
rnacentral:rRNA from 1 species